rnacentral:tRNA from 1 species
AUGAGAGCACCCACAGAACUGCUAAUUCUGUCCCCCGGAUUAAAUUUCCCGGCUCUCAUAU